ACGGGAGGCAGCAGUGGGGAAUAUUGCACAAUGGGGGAAACCCUGAUGCAGCGACGCCGCGUGAGUGAUGAAGUAUUUCGGUAUGUAAAGCUCUAUCAGCAGGGAAGAAAAUGACGGUACCUGACUAAGAAGCCCCGGCUAACUACGUGCCAGCAGCCGCGGUAAUACGUAGGGGGCAAGCGUUAUCCGGAUUUACUGGGUGUAAAGGGAGCGUAGACGGUUGUGCAAGUCUGAAGUGAAAGGCGGGGGCUUAACCCCCGGACUGCUUUGGAAACUGUACGGCUUGAGUACCGGAGGGGUAAGCGGAAUUCCUAGUGUAGCGGUGAAAUGCGUAGAUAUUAGGAGGAACACCGGUGGCGAAGGCGGCUUACUGGACGGUAACUGACGUUGAGGCUCGAAAGCGUGGGGAGCAAACAGGAUUAGAUACCCUGGUA
rnacentral:rRNA from 1 species